CUAAUUCUGAUUCUGACCUGUGACGUCACUGCGCACGCGCACACACACAGCCCUUAUACUCUGAAUGCAAGCAUUAGUUUAAAUUCACUGAUAUGGAGGCAAGCCAAAAAGAUUUAUUGAAAGCAUUAACAGUUCAAUAAUUAUUAGUGACGUUAGGCUACAUGUUGCUGACAGGACACGGGCUGAAUGGUGAUGCAUGGUGGUCCAUUAGGAGAACCUUCAAGUGGUUCUGAUGAAGUCCAGCUCGAUUUACUUUCUCACUGAGUAAAUUGAGUGGGAAUUCAUCUGAACCACUUCUUUUGGUUUGAUUGGCGGUUGACAACCAGCUUGAAGGUGCAUUACCGCCACCUACCGGACUGGAGUGUGGAGCCUUCAACAGCCCCUACAUUCCAACUGCACAUGCUGUACUGAUUGCAG